UCAAGAAAAAAUAAAAAUCACGUUAACUUAUACAUAGUUCAAAAGAUAGAAAAUGGCUGUUUCCCAGAUUUUCAUAAGAAGAAGAGUUCACGAGAAGUCGGAAUCGGACAUCGGAGUUCGAGAGAGAACAGUUGAGAAAAGCAGAGACGGACUGAGCUGAAGUAGGUGGAAGCAACGUGACACAAUGUCAGGAAGGGACGGUGGCAAGAAAAAGCCAUUGAAGGCACCCAAAAAGGGCCAAAACGAAAUGGACGAUGAUGACAAGGCAUUUUUAGCUAAAAAGAAGGAAGAAGAAAAGAAGAUGAAGGAAUUGGCUCAGCGUGCUGCUAAAGGUGGUCCACUUGGUACUGGAGGUAUCAAGAAGAGUGGCAAGAAAUGAUGGCAUUUGGUUUUAGCAGUGGAUUUUGUUUUUAAGAGUAAUUUUUCUUUUAUUAAAUACAUAAAAAAUUGUUUUUUAUUUUCUAUUCUCAUAUUUAUCACCUUUUCCUAUAACUUCCCUGUUUGCAGGCUGAGUUCCAAACUUGAAGCCAUCUUGGGCUAGAGUCUGUUUACAUUAUCCACAAGUAAGAAAAUAAAACCUCUUAUGCACAAAAGAACUUGAGGAUAUGACACAAAUAGUCUGAGAAAAUAUUUUGUACAAAGAUGGUUAUAUUUAACAAUCCCCGUUUUGUAUUGUUUAAUGUAUUUACAAUGCAGUAAACAAUCCAGAAACAACUUUAAAAAUGUGUAAAAUUUACUUUACAGAGACAAUCGGAACGGAUUUGAGUGUUACACAUGUAAUUUCAUUUGUCGAUGUUUGUAUACUUUUAUGUAUCCUAGAACUAAAGUAUGCAUCUUCUCUGGUUCGAUGACAUCUCCACACUCAGCCUUAACUACCUGCAAAAAAAGAAAAAAAAAAUUGAAUUGUAUGAGAAUUUGACAAACUUCAUAGAAUAGGUAAUACAAUGUCAUAUCAAAUAUCUUAAGAAAUUGAUGCCACAAAUGCUUUCCCAUACAUAAUGAAAAAGUAUGUCACCUGAAUGCCCACAACUUCUUAAAAAUUAUAUACUACACAUGAAAACAGAAGAAUGUUUUGCAAUAGAAAAGAAAAAAAAUUAAGACCACAGACCUUAAAAUAUACGUUUAUUCAAAUCAAGUACAGGAGUCUGUAACUCUUACUUUCACUGUUUGAUUACACACCAUUUAGUUUUCCUGUAAUUUUUUUCCCCUCUUAGCAAAAAUUAUCAUGCAGUAGAACCCGGCUAUAACAACACAAUGUUCUUGUGAAAAUAUAGGACUAAUCUUGUACAAACCCACCAGUCACAAGAAGUCUGAUUCUGAUUAGAACUGUUCCAUCUUGCAAACCUCCUUUAGGAAUCAGAACUGUUCCAUCUUGCAAACCUCCUUUAGGCCUGAAAACACCACUCCAAAUGUGAUGGUCCCCUCACUGGUCACCUAUGCCCUCACCUUGCCUAGGCAGCCUAACUUCUACAAUGAGAAUCGGCACAUGUGCCCAGUGCUACAUUCUUUGCUAGGGAUAGAUAGAUUAGAGUGGUGAGGUGGGAAUAAAUAUAUUAAGAUUAGUUUUUCCUGACUUCUGAAUCUUAUAUAAUAAACUUCUUGGUCUGGUUCUCUGGUAAGGUGGGAAAUAAUUAACUUGUGAAAGCAUAUGUUUGCCUCCUGGGAAAAAUACAAAAGCUUAACAAAAUUUUCCAACAGGAAUACAAACCUAUGCUUUCACAAAUUGAGACUACAUAACUCUUGGGAGGGACACAAUCUGCCCUUAUAAUGCCCUGCCCUGUAAGGGGUAGGGCCAUCAGUGCACCUCAUGUGGUGUACUGUAUGCAUUACUUAAGGUUCAUAUUCUUUCUAUUUACUUUCCACCCUCUCUUACCUGAUUCAUAGUGCAACUACAAGGCUUUCCUCCUGUUACAACUUUUACUGUUAAUCUUCAUUUCAGGCACUGAAUGACCUCAUUGGUCCCAGUGCUUGGCCUUCCCUAGGGUGUACCUAGCCAUCGGUUCUAGUUCCUGGGAGGCUAACCACUAGUGAAUACUUGCUGCCAGGUCACACAAGGCUGGAGAGAUAGUCAUUCAUCAUGACAACAGUGGCCCACUAGGGAGUGACAUCUCCAAGAGGUUGAUGUGCUCUCCCUCCACCUCAAGACUCCACAUCCCUGAAAUGCAUUCUCCAUUGAGGUUUGCACCCCACCCUUUUCAAUAGGUAAUGGCAAAUAUGACAUUUUUAAAUUAUUUUUCAUCACUGACAAACCUGAGGUCUUAACAAUAGGAUAAUCUAGUGCCAGCGGGAAACCAGUUAAAAACAAAUUGUAAAGCAAGGAAUCUGUGGUAUCUGGCAACUCGUUCGUAUACAAGGUGGAUGUUGGUCACUGACCUGGCUUGGAACCUCAUGACUCGUCAGUCUUUCUUCAACUGCCUUGGAGAGUCGUCGUUUGCUUUGCGGGCCUUCCCCAUGCUGCUGUUUUUUAUUGAAGCUUGUGCUUUGUUUCAUAUUUAUUCAGCCCAGAAGUUCUGUGGAUGUCAACGUUUUUAGAUGGCCUUCCUUGGGACAGAUGCAAAUUGCAAAUGUGACUUUUUCUCUGCUUCGUCAUCAUGUGUUAUGAGUAUGCUGGUCCAUCUCCCAAAGAGAUAUUGCCCCUUCAGGGAGAGGAGGGGCCAAGUAAUUUUUGUUCUUUAGUAUUUUACUUUUGUUUUAUGGAAGAUAAUUUGAAAACAUCUGUAUUGACAUAUUUUAUGUAUCUUUCAUAUUAUCUUCUUACACAUUUUCUGGGAACGUAGUAAUGUUUGUCUUUCAAAAUUUGUGUUUCAGGAUGUUCAAGACGUAGGGGCUCGUGUUACAGACAAGGUUUUUAUGCUAGGAUUCAGCUGUCUAGCAUAGGAGUACAUUCCCACACUUCUUCGACACAAAUUUUAAUGGCGUACAAUUGCGAUCUUUCCGUCUGCUUGCAGGGCCAGUCGUGAUUGUUGACUUGUCUCUUUCUGUCAUUUUGGUGGAAAAGGGGUGUGGGUUGUACGGCUCACUCCAGUCUUUCCCUCCAUCCUCAUGUAAAUAUGAUUCUAUUUCCCUUCCAGGAUACUAAUCUUUCCAGAGAGAGCAUGUUCUGUGUUUCUACAGGCUCUUCAGUUAUGUGUUUCUCUAUAGGGUCUUCAGUUGUCAGUCCUGCUUCUCACCUGGAAGUCUGGCAGGGGCAGCGUUCUGCUCAGAACUUAGGGAGCCUCUGCUUCACUUUCCUAAUUCUUUAUUUGUGUUUGUGCUGUGAAGAGAGAGAGAGAGAGACUUUGGAAGCAGUCAGUACUGUCGGCGGUGUGUUCCUUGCUGUCAUCGGAGCUCCUUGGUUGCUGACAAUACGACGUCGUCAAGCAGGGAUACCAGGUACCUUACAGACUGCUUUGAAUAUAGGCUCCCUAUGAUGUUUGACUUGGUACCCUUGUCAUAUGAUAUAAUUAUAGUACUUUUUUGUUUUAACGUUUUUCCAUACUGCAUACGUUUUCUCUCUGUAACAGUAAUCUGCUGUGUGAAGUCAUGGCCUCUGGUAACUACAUAGUUUGAUGCUGCUGUGUUUGACAGAGAGCGAUCUCUCUUCCUAUUCCUUCAGUGAUGGAUUUUCUUGGAAAUUCUUUGCUAUCCGUCACGUACGUGUCUUGGGAGACCUUUGACUUGGGCUACCAGUCCAAAUGCUGUGACAUCAUUCUCAAUACUUCUUUACUAGUGACAUCUCUCCUUCGCCUGUUGCCAUGAUGUAACUUCCAUCAUCAUGGCGCCACUGCAGUCAGCUGUCAGUCCAUCAGAGGUGUUCUUCCAAAAGUUGGUUGAUUGGAUGGACUCUGUUUGGUAGGUGGUGUCCCAGGGUUUCAAACAGAAGACUUCAUAGGGCAAGACCUCCGUCGCCUUUUCCUCCCCCUCCCCCUCUCCUGUUGGAGAAGGGACUUGUGGCAUAUUCUGAGUGUGAGAGAGGUGUUUCUCCACCUUCCCAGCACGGACGUGACUCCUCUUCAAGUACAUGAAUGUGUUCCAGUCCGUGUGGUGUUUCUUCCAUCAUCUUCCCAGCACGGACAAGAAUCUCCCCUCGAAGUAUGUGAAGGUGGUCCAGUCCAUGUGGCGUCUUCUGAGAGAGUGAGAGCUAUUUCUUCCAUCUUCCCAGCAUGGACGUGACUCGCCUUCAAGUAUGUGAACGUGUUCCAGUUUGUGUUCAUCUUCACUCGCAUCAGAGUUCUCAGGCUGGUUCUCAAUCUCCACAUGCAAGGUCCUUUACUCUCUUGGUCACCUCCAUGGGCUGCAACGGGUCCUGCAGUUGCUGCCAGGCCUCUUUCACCUACCACUGGAGAGACUGGAGGUGCACUCAUGUCCCUAGGAACCAGUUUCUCGAGGAAACCAGAGGGGCCCAGGGAGAUAUACCACUUCUUUGCAGGUUGGUCUGUCUUGGAUAGCAAUUAACACAAGAUAUCCAGAAUUUUUACUAUUCUCUCCUGUAAAGGGAAGACUUACCAACUGUUCCUCUAGGGGGGUCAAACUCAGACUUGGACAGGUUUACCACAAUACUCAACACUUGGCACAGGUCGAAGACAAUGUCUCUGCCUCCUCCCAAGAUGAGGCAAGUAUUAACUAGUUGCAGAGGUAACACCUCAGUCACAUGCCCUUGGAAUGUUCCCAAGAGGACACAAUGGAACAAUAGUGUCCUGUAGUUAAACCAAAGCAGAGCCUGGAGCUGGUAGGUCACCCUCAUGGUGGCAAACUGCAGUAUUUCCUGGAGGUCAGGGGAAAUACCCGAGGCUUAUGAAUAUGGCUUGCAGCUUCCUCUGUAAACAAAAUGAUAUCUACAUAUUGUGGAACUAGAGGACAAUUUCCCAGUUUUUCAUUCUCCCUACACCAGGGGAAAGCUUUUUAUAAAACCUUGAGUUGCUGAGACAAGAAGGAUGCUCAGCUUGAAGGCUGCUUUCCAGCACUUUGCCAAUGUAGUUGGAGGAAGCAGAAACCAGGUACUGUAUCACUAACUGCUACAAUGAUGCAAUUGCACAUGAACCAUUGUAUCAAGAUGGUGCAGAGUGCCCGGAUGGACAUUAGUUCUCAACAAAAAUCACCCGAUAUGAGAGAGAUCCAGUCGACACACCUGGUGACAAAAGCCUAGGGUAUUUCUGGUGAUAAAAGUUCACUCUUGACGUGGUUAGAAGUAGUGUAAAGCCAUUGGUCCCGUUGCUGAAUAACCACUGGUUCCAUGCAAUGUAAAACACCAUACAAUCAAACUAACAGAAGCUUGGGAGAGGACUGGUUAUUGGAAGCAAGAGGUUGCUUACGAUAAUUUGAAUACCUAUAAAUGCAUCAGAAGAAGCAUUUUCAGUGGCUGUCUGUCAAUACCUGGGGAUAGCCAUAAGUUUGAUCGAGGUGGCAACUACCAAGGGUAGCCCCCUCCCCACCUCGGACAUCCUUCAACUACCGGUAAUAAUCCCUGGUGCAGAGGAGUAGGACAAUGACUUUAGCCUAUGAGAUCCGAGUAACCGGAGUCGUCACCUCCAUCAACAUCUUGAAAGCCACCUUUCCAACGGCUGUCUGUCGAUACCUGGGACUGAGGGGGGUGACUACCUGUAUGCAACCCCAUGCCUGUCUUCUCCCUGGUACAGGGGAGGGACAGUGACCUUUGUCUAGGAGAAUCAAGGGACAAGUCCCCUUCUCCACUGCACAACACUAAACUGUUACAUUGAUAAAUUCAUGAUAAUCAAAAUAAAAUACAGACAGUCCCCGACUUACGACGUUCCGAGGUUAAAGCAUUUUUCAAUUAUAUUUAUCAGAAAUUAUUUCCAGGUUUAAGAUGCAUUCCAGGGUUAUGGUGCCUACAACGCUGAUCUGGCAAGAAAUAUAACUCCAAAAAUGCAAAAUUAUCAAUACAGUGGUACCUCGAGAUACGAAAUUAAUCCGUUCCGAGGCAGCCUUGGUAUCAUGAGUAUUUCAUAUCUUGAACCGCAUUUUACAUCUAAUUCGUUCCAAGCCCUACAAAAACACCCCAGUAAAUUAUAUUUCCAGGCUUACAACAUAUGUUCUAGGGUUACGAUGCUGAUCCGACGGAAGAAAUAUGACUCCAUAAAGGCAAAAUACAGUACAUACUUGAGUAAUAUUCAACUGCAUGUAGUGUUCAACCCCAUUUUUACUGCAUAUAUUAGGACUUUAGCAUAUGUCCCUUAGCAAUAUGCCUAGCCUAUGUUAGCAGUUGCUACUGUAGCCUAGUCUAUGAUUCUGACAUCUAAAUCUAAGAAGCUAAAAGCUUAAAAUAUGCCAAUAAAAUGUAUAAAUAAUCAGUAUGUACUCAUUUCAAAUAAUUAUUAAUUAAUCAUUAACUAUAAUACACAAACAAACAAACAAAAAAUCUUCCAACCGUUUGUUUACAUUCAGCUUUUACGAGUACCAAACGAUCGCCAAGCAAUCACUUUUCCUAGCACAGUAAGCCAUAAAUUUUCAUUAGUAUCUCUCUUCAACUAAUGAAACUACCAAACAGUAUAAUAACCAUUCAUUUCUAUUUAUUCCAUCUUUACCUAAUGGAGAUACCGAGUUACUGACAGCUACAAUGAAACAUAUACGUAAUAUUAAAACAGAAGAAGAAUUCUAGAAAAUACGUAUUUGUUGGCUUCGAUGAUAGCAGUCUGAUUUAUUUUAUAUUUUAUGAUAUCUAAUUCACAAUUUUUUUAUUAAAUGUAUUGCAUGUACUCAUUUCAAAUAAUUAUUAAGUAACCAUUAACUAUCAUAAACAAUCAACAACAACAAAAAAAGCUUCCAAACUUCUGUUUACAUUCAGCACUUACGAGUACCGGACGAUCGCCAAGCAACCACUUUUCCUAGGACACAGUAAGCCAUAUAUUUUCAUUUAUCUCUCUUCAACUACUGAAACUACCAAACAGUAUAAUAACCAUUCAUUUCUAUUCUUUAUUCUAUCUUUACCUAAUUUUUUUUUUAUUAAAUGUAUUGCAUGAAUAAGUUUUUCAAUUUACAGCAUCCUUUUACCAAUAGAAUACAGAGCACAAGGGGUAGAUGCUGACCAAUAGGAGAGCAGGAUCUUAUGGAGUGACUAGCAUCAGGAACCAAUGGGAGAGCAGGAGGAUGAUGGCGAGUUUUAAAAUUGUUCUCUGUGGUCCGGGCGAAUCUCAGGACUUUACAGCAACAACCUUUCGUAACUUGAACUAUUUUCGUAUGUAGAGCCAAAAAAAUCUUCAUAUUUGCUUUCGUAUCUCUAGUUUUUCGUAAGUUGAGCCUUUCAUAUGUCGAGGUACCACUGUUUUUGAAAGUUUUUUUUUUUUUUUUUAUAAAAAAUGCAAUAAGGAUGCAGUUUACAUUAAAAGUAAGGUUUUCUUAGGAUUUUUUACAAUGUUCCCGCUUACAAUGCGUCUCAAGAACGGAACCACAUCGUAACCCGGGGACUGCCUGUAUUGGCAAAGGCACAGGAAGGACGCGAUAGAGCCAGGCACAGGAGCAAAUGACUUGGAUAGGAGGGCUAGUAGGAGAGAACUGGCACCAGCUUUGGGAGGUGUGAGGUAAGCACUUGGCAGCCACUGGCGACUGAAAAACUAGGCGCUCAGACAAGAGGCAAGAUGCCAUCUCUGGAAAUCUCAAGUUACUUAUUACUUUUGCAUUGUGCAAAUAAUAAAUCAGUAAUUGAUUAUUAACUACUUUAUAUGAAAUUCUGGCAUCUAGGCAAGAAGGAAUGCUAAAAUUGUAUGAAUGAAAUUUUGGAAGAUGGGGAUGCUGAAACAUUCAAAAAAGGGGAAAAACCCUCCUAAGAAGGACCAGUAAAAACUCUGAUGCUCCUUCUUCUCAUAAAAUGCCUUCACUGCAACAUGGGUAGGAACGACAUUCCAGGCAAGGAUUAGUAAUGGUACAAUAAUUAGAUCGGCACCUACUGCAACUUGUAUGGGGAUCUGUUAUAGUAGCAGCCAAAAACCUUGUGCACAGAAAUCCUCGAAUGCCCGGGCACAUGCGUUGACAAGGCCUAGAAGAAUUGGUGGACUUCAUGAUGCCCAACAAUCACACACUGAAAUAAAGAAAUCACUGGCAAACAAAGCAACCCGCUUUGGAGGAGAGCAAAAGCGACUACUCUCCUAGGCAGUCAAAGAAAGACUAGGUCAUCAUGAGGUUCUAUGCCUGGUCGGUGACCAUCUUCCACCUUGUACAUGCAUGAGUUCUCAGAUGCCAUAGAUUCCUUGCUUUACAGUCUUUGAUUGUUUUUAACCAGUUUCCAACUAGCGCAAGAUUAUCCUAUUGUUGAAAAUUUGUCAUUUUCCUAUAUAUAAGAUUAUCCUAUUGUUAAAAAUUUGUCAUUUUUCUCUAUGUAUUCAGACUUCGCAAAAUGACACUCGGACAGACUAAAGGCAAAAUGUCGCUGUCUCUGGUGAUCUCAAUUUGUACUUAUUACUGUACGAAUAUAAUCGAUUAUUAACUACUUUACAGUAUAUGAAAUUCUGGCAUUUAGGCAUGAAGGCAUGCUAAAAUUGUAUAAAUAACAUUA